rnacentral:lncRNA from 1 species
AUGCAUUUUUCCUGCAACGGAAUUGAUUUUAACCAUCAUUUAAAUUUAUAACAUGUGCCAGCUUCCAGGGUUUUGUUACAUUACAGAAUUUAGAUGCCCGGUCUCCGCUUUCAAAUUAUCUGAGUACCGGGUAUGGACUCUUGCUUGAAAUGCAAACGUGAUUAUUCUGUCGCACACUCUUCAACAGAAUGGCCUGAACUGGAAAUCCUCAUGUAAUAGAGAUGAACAACUAUUCUUCCUGCUGGCUCAAACACAGUUAUGCAAACAUGCUAAUGACGGACUUCAAAGGCAGCCGGGGAAGAAGCUUUCCUGUCUUCUGUGCCAGAAGGAGAGGCGAGGCUCUUUACCGCUCAUAUGGGAGAGAUGAGGAGCCUUUGAACGGAUCAUUGCUUUUUAUGAGUAGUAAUGAGGUGAGAAGGAUUCUAGUGUGUGGUACAGGCCUUCAUUAAAAAGCGUGAAACAGAAUGGCUUACGGUUACGGGGGGUAAUUUGUUCUAACAUACUUGCUAAAUUGUGCUGUAACCAUGCCAGUUAACAGCACUCUAUUUUCCAUAGGAUUCCUGAAUGCAUUUGUGUGCAGUUAUUCUGGCCAUGCAACAUUCAGGGAUUUUUCCUAUCACUUAUGCCACCUACUCGACAAUGUUCACUCGCUCCACUGAAAGUAUAUGGAACACCAUGGUUAAAGAUGGGAAAAGGAUCCAGAGAUAUUCUCACUCUCCUCCCAAAGUCAAAGGGUU